UACCCGCAGCACAAGUGGUGGUCAUUAUUAUUGGGCCUAAAGCGUCCGUAGCUGGCGUGUUAGAUGCCUGGGUAAAUCGAUGCGCUCAACGCAUCGAAUUCCGGGUAGACCGGCACGCUCGAGACCGGGAGAGGUAUGGGGUACUCGGGGGGUAGGGGUAAAAUCCUGUAAUCCUCCGGGGACGACCAGUGGCGAAGGCGCCAUACUAGAACGGCUCUGACAGUGAGGGACGAAGCCCUGGGGCGCAAACCGG
rnacentral:rRNA from 1 species